GGGGGCUUCUUGGCCUCCUCCCAGGGUCCUGGGAAAUGCCUGGGCACCUAGAGUGGCGGGAGCAGGGCUCCUAGGCAUUCCCGAGGUGGUGGGUAGAUGGCUGGGGUGGGCGCCAGAGCCAACCCCCUCCCCCCCCAGCCUCCCACGGUGCCAGUGCCUAUGGGAGUAAUUAGCGCUAAUGACAGGACUGGGGGAUCUGUUAUCAUAUAUACACUCACCUCUCACUGGGGCACAACCGAGGCAGGCCAGGAGGGGGUCGGCAGAUGAAGGGAGAGGCCCGAGGUGGGGAGGGCAGAGCAGGGCAGGGAGGGGUGGUGGUCCAGCCCCCUACAGACCCCAAGGGGACCCCGGUCUGCCUCGAAAUGCUCCCCAGCCAUGUGGGGUCAUGUGGGUGGGUGUGGGCUGGACAGCGUCCCCCUGGCAGCGUCCCCCUGUCGGGGUGUCAUGGGGUCGGUGCUGCCAGGCCCUCUCUGGUGUGGUGUCCUCGGGGCAGCCCUCCCUCUCCCCCGCCCGGGCAGCCCCCACGCCGGGAGUGCCUGAGACUGCCAGGUGCUGCCCCUGGCACCGUGGGGCUCCUCCUGGAUCCCAGAAUCCACGGGGGCAUCUCUCGGGGGCAGGAGCCCCCAGGCACUUCCCUCUCAACCGCCACUCUCUCCUCCCUCACCAGAGAGCUUCCUUCUCUCCUCCCACGCCUCAGGAAAGGGGAAACAGGGCUUCCCCAGUGGCCUCGGGGCCCACAGACUGGGCCAGAAUUUCCUUCCCGUCAGUGCCGUUCUGACACAAGUUUCAGCUUUUUAUUUAGAAACUCAAAACCUGAGCCUUCCCUUCUGUGGGCACAGCCACAUCCCGAAGGCAGUGAGCCUGAGCGCUCCGGGCUGGAGAAAGCUGGGAGUGGGAGCUGACCAUGAAGUGGGUGCCAUCAAAAGUCUUCCGGGAGCCAGAGACCCAGGACUGCCCAUCAGCAUCACCAGCCCAGCCCGGGCCAGUGCCUGGCCCACAGCAGGCGCUCCCCGGGCAGCUGCGGACUGACUGACUGCUGUACGCACCCAGCACGUGGUAAUACCCAGCUCAACCAGUGAGAAGUGAGCCAGCGGGAUUGCUUUAGCAAUUCGGGGUCUUUUGUUGCCUCCCAGGGGCAUCUUCAUCUUCAUAGAGAACCCUUGGAAAUCUUCCAGAUGCGAAUGAAUGGACUGAUAAUGGUAGAUUGGAGGCCCAGUGACUAGCUUGUGUGUGUGUGUGAACUGCCACCUACCAGCUGUGCAACCUUGGGUGAGUCCCUCCACCUCUCUGAGCUCAGUGUGUUCAUCCACGAUGUGGAGGCUGCUGUCCCAGGCACAGCUGCAGCAAUGGCCGGUGUGUUGGGGCGGCCGGGAUAUCGAGUGCGGAUGAACUUCGGCAGCAGGAGGUGACAAAUUCUGCCGCCAAGAAUCACUUGUGAAAAAAUCAACAGUGAAGCCCAGCGGCUCCCAGGCCCGCUGGAGAAAUCUGAGUGGAUUUCUAGAGGAGCAGGGUGGAAAAAACCCAGGGGUGGCUGUGGGAUCUGGAGGCCGGGGACCAGGGCAGGACAACAGUGUGCUGGCCUGGACAGAGCUGGCACCGCAGGGGGAGGGGCCCUGCCCUUCUCAUCAUGAAGGGGCCUCGCCCAGGCCUGACCCUCCCUCUCCCCACCCCCAUAAGGAGAUGGGAGGUGGCCCUCCAGGCAGUGGGAAUGGCCUGAGUAAACUAAACUGGGACAUACGAGGAUGCUGGGGAGGCAGGCCUGGCUAGAGGGGAGGAUAGAGAACGGGGAGGGAUGCGCGAGGAAGAGAGAAGGAGGCUGGUCCUGUUCUGAAGGGCUUGAAGGGCCUGGCAGCCGGGAGCUCUGGCUCCUUUGGAGGGCAGUGAGGAGCCACAGAAGGUUUUGGAGCAGGAGGUGGACUUGAAGGAGCUCUGCUGCACUGUCCUCUCUGGGCCCCUUCAGGAGGGGCCUUCAGGGGAAGACUCAGUCAGCCUCCCAGGACCCAGGCCUGCAUCCUCUCUUGGGGUGGGGCUGGGGAGGGCACGGAGCCAUGGGGCAGAGGCAGAGAUGCCGGGGAGGCAUCACCCACCACAGAUGCAGUGCCACCUGUGUGCCACGUUACCUCGGGGCCCCCCCAGGGUGACGGAGGCCGAGAGUGCCAGCCUGGCUUGGUCUAGGGCCAUCCGACUACAGAACCACAGGAACAGCACUGGGCAGGGAACUAUCCGGGUGGGAGUUCCCCUAACGGUCUCAUCGGAGCCUCUUCCUCGUUCCCAGGGAGGGCUCUGAGCUCACCGGCCCAUUCACAGAGGAAACCGAGGUUCAGAAUUGUCAAAGCUUAGAGGUCACCAAAGAGACCAGGAUCUCUGGCUGCCGGCCCAGUGCUUGGCACCUAGUAGGUGCUUAACGAGUAGAUGAGAGUUAGGAUCAGAACCCGCUCUUUAGACUGCAGAAUCAGGGCUCUUCAGACGGCACCAAGGAGCUUUCUCUGAGCUGGCACUGCUGUCAGACGGCAUGAAAACCCCAGAAAUAGAACCAUCUGGGAGAUGCUCCACCAUCUUGGAAACAUGGCCAGGAGAGGGAAAGUGACUCGCCCGAGGCCACACUGUGGCAGAGCAGGGACCAAGACCCAGAUCUUCAGACGUCCCCUUCCCCACCCCGGCCGGGCCCAGGCUGGGCAGGAAGCGAGGGCACCACCUGGCUGGGAGGAGCCCGCCCGGGCUCCAAAGCUGGACCACAGGCCCCAGGCUGGGCAGGGAGGGAGGACAGGCGCCAUGGCAACCAGCCACAGGGGUGGGAGGACAGCAGUUGGGGGGGAGGGCAGAGCCCCCUUCAGCUCCUGGGGGGGCCCCAGCCAGAGCCAGAGUCCUCAGAGGCAGGCCCGGCCCACUCCAGGCCUCCACUCCGUCCUCUCCUCGCAGCCCUAUCAUCCACUCAGCCCCAAAAUGCCAUUUAUAUCACUGCCUCCGGCUAUCUGGGCUAUCUGUCGGAGAGGCCGGUGGGUUUCUCUCAGGCUCCUUCACCUCUCUCCCCAUGUGUCUCCAUCCUCGCCUUGCUCCCUCCCUCUCUCCAUCUAUUCUUGUUGCGUUCAGAUUUUAGCUUCAGACAGAUGCGGUGUCAAGGUCCCAGGCACUCCUGUGCCGUGUGACCUUUGUGGAGCCACAGCCAUUUGUCCAUUGCCUUGGCCGGCCCCCCCUUUUCUCAUCUGUGCGACGGGGUUGACACCUGCGGUGCCGGCCUCUCGCGGUUCACUGUGCCUGCCGAGGCCCCGAGCAUCCAGCAGGCGCUUACUCUGUGGUGGCCACCAGACGGUGAUGGGGUUUGUGAUAGAAUCAUUGGACUCCCAGCGCCUUGCCGCCCACCUGCCGCCUGCCACCCGCCACCUGCCGGCCGCUCCCAUCACUGCGGGGGAGGCCGGGUAGGCUCCCCACCCCCUGCUAUUCUCAGAGCCUUCCAGGAGGUUCCGAGCAGCUUCUCACCGGAUAUUUGGCUUUUUCUUGGAGCUUGCUCUGCCCCUCCUCUGUGAGGAUGUUCUCAGGUGGCCAGGGGUGGAGAAGGGAAGGAGGGCAGACUCUCCAGGCGCUUGCUGACAAUUAGACAGAGGAGGGGGUCCCAGUCCAGGCAGGACUCGGCCCGGGCGGUGCCUGUGUCCAGCUCCCCGGUGCUGGGCUGGGCUGAAAUGCAGCAGAAGAGGCCUGGGAGUGGGUCGUAGUCCCACCUACCGUAGCCGAGGUCAUGUGACUGUGGGGGUCUCUGAGCCUUUGUGGCCUCAGUCUCCUCUCCCGGAAAAUGGGCCUGAUGGUCCACGGCCUGCCUCCCGAGGAAGGGAAAAGCCUGCGGAGCUGCAGACGGAGAUGCAGACGAGGCGGCACUGCCUGGUGGCGGCGCUGGCUGGCAGGACCCCCAGGCUCUCUCGAGCUCCUCGCUGGGCCCUGAGUUUCUCCUGUUCUCCACCCACCCUGAGGCCCGGGCAGGCCCCAGACGUGAGGAGAGGGGCGGAUCUGGGCAGCCCCUCCACCAGCCUGGCUCAAGGCAGCCCCACAGAGCUCGUCCCCCACCCGUCCCUGUAGCAGCCCCUGGCAGCCCUGCCAGGUAGGGGUCGACCACUUUUUUGGUGGUUGUAUUUAAAAAAAAAUUGUUGUAAAAUAUACAUAACAUAAAAUUUACCAUCUUAACCAUUUUUAAGGGUACAGUUCUGUAGCACUAAGCACAUUCACAAUGUCGCACAACUGUCGCCACCAUCCAUCUCCAGAACGUUUUCAUCUUCCCAAACAGAAACUCUGUGCCUGCUCCCCAUCCCCCCGCCCCCUCUGGUAACCGCCAUCCUACUUUGUCUCUACGAAUUUGCCUCAUAUAAGUGGAAUUAAACAUCUGUCCUUUUGUGUCUGGCUUAUUUCACUUAGCAUAAUCGGAUGACCUCUUUUAACAGAUGAGUAAACUGAGGCACAGAGAGACUACGGGGCUUGCCCAGGCUGCGUGCCCUCUCUCACAUCCUUUCUGCCUCCUCUCUCCUGUUCCCCACUUCCCUGUGAGUGUCCCCGUUCGCCUGUCAUGCCCCCAUUUCACCGAGGAAGAGAGAGAGGAGGCAGGAGCCCGAGGUCCUGAGGGGCUGAAGGACUCUGAGCGUGGUGCUCAUACACUCGGGACCACCCUGCUCUGCCGGGAGUGGGGGCUGGGCCAGUCCCAGGGCUUGAUGGGGAACAGGCCAGGGACCGCCACGCCCCUUGCAGGCCCAGUGACUCUUUUCCAAGGCUGACCUGGUGACCAGACCCUGUGGGUUGCCUCAGGCUGCGCUGACAUCACCCCUUCCCGGGGCUCUCCGGGUCAGAGAGGGGACAGGCUGGCAGUUAGCAACAUGGCCCGAGGGGCCGCCCAGGGCAGAGAAGAGCCUGAUCCGCCUCCGGGUGACCCACACAGCCCCGUCCCCCUCCCUGGCCUCCCAGGCUCCGAGUGUGCGUGCUUGGAGAGGGCCAAGGUGCCUGGGAAGCUUUUAGGAAUGGGGAAAAACAUUUAUUGCCUCCCUGCGUGAGCUCGGGGACAUAAGCAAGUCAGGUGGCAAGAUUUCCUCCGGGCGCCACUCAUUUUCUUCAUCUAACUCUUAAAGCGUUUUGGGAUCCAGGGCAGUCCAUGUGUCCACCUGCAAACCCUGCUAACCACUGAGCUUUCUAUAGAUUCAUUCAUUCAUUCAUUUGUUCAGCAAGGAUUGACUGAGAAUGGCUGUGCGCAGGACAAAGGGGCCCCAGUCGCCUGGAGUCCCUGAGCUUGCCGUCAGACAGCCAAGCCCAACAUGCAUCAAAGACUCAGAUGGUGAGCAACCUCAGGCAGCGCCCAGGGCUCUGAGGGAGGAGUCAGGGCCUCGUGGGGACCAUGAAGCAAGCGGAUUAAGACUGGGAGAUGGAGGGCGGCUUCCCUGAGAGGCUGCUGAGCUGAGGGGUACGGACCAGCCAGGCAGAGAACUCCAGGAAGAGCGUCCCCGGCAGAGGAAACAGCACGUGAAAUGGCCCAGAGGCGCGAAAGAACUCGGGACCAGGCUCCCCUCUCUGGAGGCAGCCCGCUUCACCUGCAGCUUGGCUUUCCUUCCAGGGUGUCUGCGGAGAGACAAGCCAACAUCUGCAUCGGAAAGCAAAUAGACGCACACGUUUCCCUCCGUUUAACCCAUUAAAGGCCGGCAUUCCAUCACCUGGGUCUUGUGAUUUUUUUCCCACUUAAAUCUGUUUUAUGCGGGAGGCCACUACUAAGGCUCAGAGAGGUUAAGACACUCGUCUAGGGUCGCACAGCAGGGAUGGAGAGGUGGGCAGCGAACGCGG
rnacentral:lncRNA from 1 species